UGGGGAAUAUUGGACAAUGGGCGAAAGCCUGAUCCAGCCAUGCCGCGUGUGUGAAGAAGGUCUUCGGAUUGUAAAGCACUUUAAGUUGGGAGGAAGGGCAGUAAGCGAAUACCUUGCUGUUUUGACGUUACCGACAGAAUAAGCACCGGCUAACUCUGUGCCAGCAGCCGCGGUAAUACAGAGAGUGCAAGCGUUAAUCGGAAUUACUGGGCGUAAAGCGCGCGUAGGUGGUUCGUUAAGUUGAAUGUGAAAGCCCCGGGCUCAACCUGGGAACUGCAUCCAAAACUGGCGAGCUAGAGUAGAGCAUAGGGUGGUAGAAUUUCCUGUGUAGCGGUGAAAUGCAUAGAUAUAGAAAGGAACACCAGUAGCGAAGGCGACCACCUGGGCUCAUACUGACACUGAGGUGCGAAAGCGUGAGGAGCAAACAGG
rnacentral:rRNA from 1 species